rfam:Gorilla gorilla gorilla genomic chromosome, chr6, whole genome shotgun sequence
GCUGGGCGUGGUGGUGCAUGCCUGUAAUCCCAGCUACUCAGGAGGCUGAGGCAGGAGAAUCGCUUGAACCCAGGAGGCGGAGGUUGCAGUGAGCCAAGAUGGCACCACUGCACUCCAGCCUGGGUGACAGAGUGAGACUCCAUCUCAA